CACCUUACUAUUUAAAGUAAAAAAAUAAAAAAUGAUGUGUUAAAAUAUGAAGAAUAUUGAAUUACAGAAAACUUGUUCAGUUUACACAGUGAGUGAUAUUCAGAUAAAUUAUAUGCACCACCUCCCGGCUAGAACACCAUGGGAGAACAACUUUGCACAAAUUGGUAAAAAAAUGCAUUUUAAAUUUCAUUUAAAUCAAAAAUAACAAACAGCAAAGCAAGUGAUUGCUUGCACCAAAUUUUGUAAUCUCAUAUAUUUCCGCAACCUGAUGGGGUAAAUGUCAAACUUUGACUAUUUGAUCCACAUCAUUAGGUCAUACACAAUGCACAAACUGAAGGAAUAGCAAAUUAGAGUUUAAGGAAAAUAUGUACUUCCUUUCUAGUAAAUAAUUGUUUAAAAUAAGCCUAGCUACCAUUAGAGCUGUCCUGUACUCAGGACCAAUAGAAUUGCAACGGCGACCAGGUCUAUCUAUCUAUAUAUCUAUUCAAAUCUUAUAAUCCAAUAAGAGAUCCAUAUGUAAAUUAGCGG